CAAUGAUUUCAGUGACUUACUUUGUCUGGAUGGUCUUGUUGCAACUAUGUGUUCAAGGAAGAGAAAAUGCCAAACCUUCAGUGAACAUUCUUUCACCUUCUGAUGAGCAAAUGUCACAACAGAAGAAAGCAGUUUUGCAGUGCUUGGUGAAUAACUACUAUCCCCGAGCCCCUACAGUGACAUGGAGCCUGGACGGUAACAACAUUGAUAACAGUAAGGUGGUCAACAGCCGAGAGCUGGUGGAGAGUGACGGUACAUACAGUAUGAGCAGCAUUGUUACACUUGAUGUAAAUGAAUGGACUCAAGGGAACGCAAUUGCUUGCAAGGUCAAACACGAAACACUCAGCUCUGACCUAACACAAACCCUGAAGAGGGCAGAAUGCAUGGGUUAGUCUGUCACUGAUUUUUGUUUGAUCUUAUUGUUCGCAACCUUAAAAAUGAAGCAGUAGUGAUUGGCUAUUGUUUUGCAGUACGUUAAUGUUUCAAGUAUAAACGUAUAUUUGCUAGUGUACUGGCAGUAUUUUGCUCCAUCUGACAUUUAGCAAGUCAGGUUCUUUUCUUCCAAAGUUAAAAGUAUUUUAUCGUGCUGUUAAGCUACUUUCCUUGACUUCAAAAAUAGCACACGAGUGUUGGUGUAUUUUUUCUGUAAAACAAUAAAAAAACUUCAUGCAUAAA